rnacentral:rRNA from 1 species
CGGGUUGUAAAGCACUUUCAGUCGUGAGGAAGGUAGUGUAGUUAAUAGCUGCAUUAUUUGACGUUAGCGACAGAAGAAAGCACCGGCUAACUCCGUGCCAGCAGCCGCGGUAAUACGGAGGGUGCGAGCGUUAAUCGGAAUUACUGGGCGUAAAGCGCAUGCAGGUGGUUUGUUAAGUCAGAUGUGAAAGACCCGGGGCGUCAACCUCGGAAUAGCAUUUGUAAACUAGGCAGACUAGAGUACUGUAGAGGGGGGUAGGAAUUUCAGGUGUAGCGGUGAAAUGCGUAGAGAUCUGAAGGAAUACCGGUGGCGAAGGCGGCCCCCUCGGACAGAUACUGACACUCAGAUGCGAAAGCGUGGGGAGCAAACAGGAUUAGAUACCCUGGUAG